GCUUAUCACCAUUCCAGAUUGAAUAUACCCGAUCUCGUCUGAUCUCGGAAGUCAAGCAAUCUCGGGCUUGGUUAGUACUAGGAUGGGUGACCGCUUGGGAAUACCAAGUGUGGUAAGCA
rfam:Ciona savignyi cont_47000, whole genome shotgun sequence.